rnacentral:pre_miRNA from 7 species
UCUUCGGAGAUGUGGGUGGUUGCACCAAUCCCAAGACGAGCCCCCAAAGAGAGACUCCAUGAGGAGCCCCUCGCUCAGGCCUUGGGAUAAUAGCAGACACCCAAGAACUCACGAGAGACC